AGAGAGGUCUCGUGGGCUCGGAGAUGUGUAUAAGAGACAGGUAUUUAUAUUGGAUGAUUUUAGUGGCGCACGGGUGAGUAACACGUGAAUUACAUGCCCUUCAGUGGGGGAUAGCCCGGGGAAACCCGGAUUAAUACCCCAUAGUACCGCAAGGUUAAAGGUGGCUAGCAAUAGCUGUCGCUGAAGGAUUGGUUCGCGCCCUAUCAGCUUGUUGGUGAGGUAACGGCUCACCAAGGCUACGACGGGUAACUGGUCUGAGAGGACGAUCAGUCACACUGGAACUGAGACACGGUCCAGACACCUACGGGUGGCAGCAGUUUCGAAUCUUUCACAAUGGGCGAAAGCCUGAUGGAGCAACGCCGCGUGGGGGAUGAAGGUCUUCGGAUUGUAAACCCCUGUCACUAGGGACUAAACGUACUCGGUUAAUAACCGGGUGCCUGAAUUAACCUAGAGAGGAAGGAGUGGCUAACUCUGUGCCAGCAGCCGCGGUAAUACAGAGACUCCAAGCGUUAUUCGGAUUCACUGGGCGUAAAGGGAGCGCAGGCGGUCAUGUAUGUCGGAGGUGAAAUCUUGCAGCUCAACUGUAAAAUUGCCUUCGAAACUACUUGACUAGAGUAUCGGAGAGGUAAGCGGAAUUCCAGGUGUAGCAGUGAAAUGCGUAGAUAUCUGGAGGAACACCGAAGGCGAAGGCAGCUUACUGGACGAUUACUGACGCUCAGGCUCGAAAGCAUGGGGAGCGAAAGGGAUUAGAUACCCCUGUAGUCCAUGCCGUAAACAUUGUACACUAGACUUCGGGACAAUCGACCGUUUCGGAGUCCAAGCUAACGCGAUAAGUGUACCGCCUGAGGACUACGGCCGCAAGGCUAAAACUCAAAGGAAUUGACGGGGGCCUGCACAAGCGGUGGAGCAUGUGGCUUAAUUCGAUGCAACGCGAAGAACCUUACCUAGGCUUGACAUGCAUCUCUAAGCACGUGAAAGCGUGUGACCCUUCGGGGGAUUUGCACAGGUGCUGCAUGGCCGUCGUCAGCUCGUGUCGUGAGAUGUUGGGUUAAGUCCCGCAACGAGCGCAACCCUUGUGAUUAGUUGCCAGCACGUAAUGGUGGGGACUCUAGUCAGACUGCCCAGAUCAACUGGGAGGAAGGUGGGGACGACGUCAGGUCAGUAUGGCCCUUACGCCUAGGGCUGCACACGUACUACAAUGCCCAGUACAAUUGGAACCAAUACCGCGAGGUGGAGGAAAACCGUAAAACUGGGCCCAGUUCGGAUUGGAGGCUGCAACUCGCCUCCAUGAAGUUGGAAUCGCUAGUAAUGGUACAUCAUCUACGGUACCGUGAAUACGUUCCCGGGUCUUGUACACACCGCCCGUCACAUCAUGGAAGCCGGUAGCACCCGAAGUAUCGUUUAAUCGGUCCUAAGGUGAAGCUGGUAACUGGGAUGAAGUCGUAACAAGGUAGCCGUAGGGGAACCUGCGGCUG
rnacentral:rRNA from 1 species